rnacentral:sRNA from 12 species
GGCAGGGGUUUGUAUCCAGGCUUUCGGUUCUUCGGGAGAUUCCCGGAGGCAGACUUAGAUAUAAGGAACCGUUACGGAGAAGCAUAGUGAGCAAUCCAUAAUGAUACAGCCC